GGAAGCGCUGCAGCUCAGCGGUAGGGCAUCUGCUUUGCAUGCAGAAGGUCCCAGGUUCAGUCACCAGCGUCUCCA